rnacentral:snRNA from 1 species
AAACCAUUGCUUUUGGCUGAGAUCAAGCGUAGCGUCUGUUCUUAGCAGUUUAAAAUCUGAUACGUUCUCUAUUCGAGGACGUUUUGUUUGUUUCUUUUUUUGUUUUCUUCCCCCUUUUAUUUUUUGCUGGCAACUGUGAUGGGUACAACAAUUUGUCUCUUUGAAGUUGACCAAGA